rnacentral:rRNA from 1 species
GAUGAACGCUGGCGGCGUGCCUAAUACAUGCAAGUCGAGCGAACAGACGAGGAGCUUGCUCCUCUGACGUUAGCGGCGGACGGGUGAGUAACACGUGGAUAACCUACCUAUAAGACUGGGAUAACUUCGGGAAACCAGAGCUAAUACCGGAUAAUAUAUUGAACCGCAUGGUUCAAUAGUUAAAUACGGUUUUGCUGUCACUUAUAGAUGGAUCCGCGCCGCAUUAGCUAGUUGGUAAGGUAACGGCUUACCAAGGCAACGAUGCGUAGCCGACCUGAGAGGGUGAUCGGCCACACUGGAACUGAGACACGGUCCAGACUCCUACGGGAGGCAGCAGUAGGGAAUCUUCCGCGAUGGGCGAAAGCCUGACGGAGCAACGCCGCGUGAGUGAUGAAGGUCUUCGGAUCGUAAAACUCUGUUAUUAGGGAAGAACAAAAGUGUAAGUAACUAUGCACGUCUUGACGGUACCUAAUCAGAAAGCCACGGCUAACUACGUG